AUUUUCUUUUAGCAAGCACAAAAGAUCGCAGGUUCCCCCGAAAAUGAUUUUUUUCGUUAUUUGCGGGCUUCGAGACAGGCAAGAAAAAGGCCAGACGUGAGGCUGGGCGAGGUUGGACAGGCGGUCAGCCAGUACACUCUGGGACUUCGUCCCUUACUGGAAACAGGCGCGCGGCAGCGCAGAGUCGUCCUAACGAGAGAGCGCACAUAAAUGUGCCUGUCUCGAUCCAGUGAUGCCUCUGAGAGUAAAUUUACUCUACUACUUUGAUAGCACAACGAAGCCUACAGUAGAGGUGUUCCUGUUUGCACCUGUUUUGGCUUCUUUCCAGAAAGCGCUUCCGUCGGUGCACAAGGACGAAUCGACCUUGAGGACAUGGUAAAAAAAAGGUUGUCAGCCAAUCCCCGGUCCUUCGUGGUGGGGAACGAGUUUUAAUCCAAAGGUAGAAUACGCUUUUCGGGAAGAUACCCUCUCUGUUGGGGAUAAACAUUGAAAUCAUCAGCGCGAGCAGCUUUUUCUUAGUCGGGAGACACUGUAAAAGUGGCAAUUCGAUGCUCACACCGACGAGGGAAAGACCUGGAUAGUCCUUUAAGACCAAGCAAGACACCUUGCCGAGUCCGUCGCACAGAUCCCGACUUAUUCACUUCCUCAAGAAUGGGACAGUCGUCUGACGAUAAGCGUGAGUAGUCAUGCACAAUGAAGUGGAUGGAAAGUGUUGCGGAAAUGGAAAAGCCUGGACUGAUUUUUUUUUUAGACAGCCCUCUACGGAAUCUCAUGGGUUUCCGCGCACGUCGGGGACUUCUAUUGCUUUUCGCAGCAGAGGAAACAUGUGUCAGAGCCAAACCAUUGCACACAUAUCUGAUGUCAGAGAUAGCGUUGUCGGGUAAUGUGAAGGGUGAAAUUGGUGUCGCUUUCCGUCCUAACUAAGAGGUCCUGCACGAGCCGUUGUUCUGUUGCGGGCUCUCGUUCCGGAUGCUUCCUUGUCGCAGCCCCCCACACCAGUGUCGAAUGCGUGUGUACAGCGGUUCUAAACAGACGUAACGGUGUCACGGAAAUGCAUGCC
rnacentral:lncRNA from 1 species